CACCUCCUCAUCCUCGUCCUCCUCGUCGGGCCUCGUCUUCGUCGACGCUCGCAGCAGCGGCAGAGAGAGGAAGCUUCGGCGCUAUGUGGAUCCAUCCGCCCUUUCGUUGCAGUGUCGACGGAGGCAAGGGAAGGGAGGCAGAGGCAGAGGGAGAGCUGUGCCUUGCUAAAUCACCAUCCCCACAGACAGACAGACAGACAGACAGAGAGAUAGCAUCGUAGAGUUUUGAAGGAAAGCUGGCUCCCAGGGUGAUCACCACGGCCCGGUUUCCAACGGCGUUUGUUCCUAGUCUUCUGUGAUUUUGGUUCCAGGUUUUAAGUCCCGCGGUCUUACGUUUACGGGCACGACUGUAGCUUUGUGACAGAGAUGUCGAAAGGUGGUAAUGGUCUCGGCUGGGCUGAUCAGUGGGACCCUCACUAUGACGGCGACAAGGCCAACAACGUCGGAGGAUCUAAAGAGUGUAACAAGAAUGAGAAGAUGGACAAAGCUAAGGCAGCGGCAAGUGCUGGCUUACGGAAAACGAAGGCUGCUGCAACUGUUAGGAUGGUGAAGACGAAAGUGGCAGCUACUGCAGGGGCAAAGAAAUUAAAAGCAGGCACGUCGGCAAGUUUGAAAUGGAUUAAGGGUAAAGUUAAAAAGUAACUUCAGCUCGAAAACUACAAGGUUCGGAAGUGUAACAUGUCAGUGAUUUCAGUAUACUGGAUAUAGCUAUUGCAGGUCCAUUGGGAAUUAUGUUCUACACGAAAAUUGGUUGUAUCGUGAAAGGUGUGAAAGGUGUUAAUUCCGCCUUUGGUUAAAGGAGGUUAUUCGAAUAGCAAUGACAUAUCAAACAAUUGCCAGUUCCCGACCUAA